AGUGGGCAACUGGCAGAUGUGAAGCUUUAGGAGAUAAACAGUGAGACCAGCUCAAAAGCUUUUUGAGAUGAUAACGAUAACAGGCUCAGACGAGGUGUUCAGAAGAGUGCCGCCAAAAUAAAAUAUGAAAUAUAGCUUAAUGGCGAAGCGUUUUUACUGUCAGUUCUGGAGGGCAGCCACUGAAAGCAUCCUCGCCUCUUCCAUCACUGUUUGUUUUCUUCCCUCCAAGACCAGGAUACCAUCGGUGAAUGGCUCUUCUGAGAUCACUGGCUGCCACCUAUCAUCAGUUGAGGUGCUUUACACUAUGAGAGCUUCAAAUAAGGCUCAGAAGUUCACCUCAGAUCUGUCACAUCCUGGACAUCCGCUUUUUACCUUCUGGCCGAAGAUGGAAGCCAAUAUGUACAAGAACUACCCGUCAUAAUAUCUUCCCGUCAGCUGCUUCUUCCCUGAUGCUGUAUGGGCUCUCUAUGGGCUCUUGGACAAAAAAUAACCGCACUUGCUGGAACUGAUCCAGCUUUGGUGAUCAAACCUUUUUUUUUUUUUUCACAUACAUAAUGUAUGACAUAAAUAGCAUACCAAAUAAAAGCACAAAGCAUAUUGAAAUGUGACCCUGGACCACAAAACCAGUCUUAAGUGUCAUUUUUUUAAAUUGAUAUUUAUACACCAUCUGAAAGCUGAAUAAUUAAUUGUUCCAUUGAUGUAUGGUUUGUUAGGAUAGGACAAUAUUUGGCCGAGAUACAACUAUUUGAAAAUCUGGAAUCUGAAGGUGCAAAAAAUCUAAAUACUCAGAAAAUUGCAUUUAAAGUUGUCCAAAUGAAUUCUUAGCAAUGCAUAUUACUAAUCAAAAAUUUAGUUUUGAUAUAUUUACGGUAGGAAAUUUACAAAAUAUCUUCAUGGAACAUGGUCUUUACCUAAUAUCCUAAUGAUUUUUGGCAUAAAAGAAAAAUAGAUUUUGACCCAUACAAUGUAUUUUUGGCUAUUGCUACAAAUAUACCCCAGCGACUUAAGACUGGUUUUGUGGUCCAGGGUCACAAAUGUGAUAAGUUGUAAUACUAAUAAUUUUCUCACAUUAUAUGUGUGUACUGUAUAUAAUGCAUUCAAAUGCAAAAAAAAAAAAUGCAUUACAUGUUCUGAACCAAUCAUGUAAAUUAUAUAUUUUGGACCCAAAAUUCCAACAAAA
ensembl:lncRNA